rnacentral:rRNA from 1 species
UACGAAGGGGGCUAGCGUUGCUCGGAAUCACUGGGCGUAAGGGCGCGUAGGCGGCCAUUCAAGUCAGGGGUGAAAGCCUGUGGCUCAACCACAGAAUUGCCUUUGAUACUGUUUGGCUAGAGACCGGAAGAGGUAAGUGGAACCGCGAGUGUAGAGGUGAAAUUCGUAGAUAUUCGCAAGAACACCAGUGGCGAAGGCGGCUUACUGGUCCGGUUCUGACGCUGAGGCGCGAAAGCGUGGGGAGCAAACAGG